rnacentral:rRNA from 1 species
UACGUAGGGGGCAAGCGUUGUCCGGAAUUACUGGGCGUAAAGGGAGCGUAGGCGGCACUGUAAGUUUCAUGUGAAAUACCCGGGCUUAACCUGGGGGUUGCAUGGAAAACUGCAGAGCUAGAGUACAGGAGAGGCAAGUGGAAUUCCUAGUGUAGCGGUGAAAUGCAUAGAUAUUAGGAGGAACACCAGUGGCGAAGGCGACUUGCUGGACUGAAACUGACGCUGAGGCUCGAAAGCGUGGGGAGCAAACAGG